UGCCAGUUAGCUCAGUUGGUUGGAGUGUGGUGCUUGUGAUGCCAAGGUCGCAGGCUCAAUCCCUGUACAGGCCA